rnacentral:rRNA from 1 species
AUUGAACUUUGGCGGCAUGCCUUACACAUGCAAGUCGAACGGCAGCACGGAGCUUGCUCUGGUGGCGAGUGGCGAACGGGUGAGUAAUAUAUCGGAACGUACCCUAGAGUGGGGGAUAACGUAGCGAAAGUUACGCUAAUACCGCAUACGAUCUAAGGAUGAAAGUGGGGGAUCGCAAGACCUCAUGCUCGUGGAGCGGCCGAUAUCUGAUUAGCUAGUUGGUAGGGUAAAAGCCUACCAAGGCAUCGAUCAGUAGCUGGUCUGAGAGGACGACCAGCCGCACUGGAACUGAGACACGGUCCAGACUCCUACGGGAGGCAGCAGUGGGGAAUUUUGGACAAUGGGCGAAAGCCUGAUCCAGCAAUGCCGCGUGAGUGAAGAAGGCCUUCGGGUUGUAAAGCUCUUUUGUCAGGGAAGAAACGGUGGGAGCUAAUAUCUCUUGCUAAUGACGGUACCUGAAGAAUAAGCACCGGCUAACUACGUGCCAGCAGCCGCGGUAAUACGUAGGGUGCAAGCGUUAAUCGGAAUUACUGGGCGUAAAGCGUGCGCAGGCGGUUUUGUAAGUCUGAUGUGAAAUCCCCGGGCUCAACCUGGGAAUUGCAUUGGAGACUGCAAGGCUAGAAUCUGGCAGAGGGGGGUAGAAUUCCACGUGUAGCAGUGAAAUGCGUAGAUAUGUGGAGGAACACCGAUGGCGAAGGCAGCCCCCUGGGUCAAGAUUGACGCUCAUGCACGAAAGCGUGGGGAGCAAACAGGAUUAGAUACCCUGGUAGUCCACGCCCUAAACGAUGUCUACUAGUUGUCGGGUCUUAAUUGACUUGGUAACGCAGCUAACGCGUGAAGUAGACCGCCUGGGGAGUACGGUCGCAAGAUUAAAACUCAAAGGAAUUGACGGGGACCCGCACAAGCGGUGGAUGAUGUGGAUUAAUUCGAUGCAACGCGAAAAACCUUACCUACCCUUGACAUGGCUGGAAUCCUUGAGAGAUCAGGGAGUGCUCGAAAGAGAACCAGUACACAGGUGCUGCAUGGCUGUCGUCAGCUCGUGUCGUGAGAUGUUGGGUUAAGUCCCGCAACGAGCGCAACCCUUGUCAUUAGUUGCUACGAAAGGGCACUCUAAUGAGACUGCCGGUGACAAACCGGAGGAAGGUGGGGAUGACGUCAAGUCCUCAUGGCCCUUAUGGGUAGGGCUUCACACGUCAUACAAUGGUACAUACAGAGCGCCGCCAACCCGCGAGGGGGAGCUAAUCGCAGAAAGUGUAUCGUAGUCCGGAUUGUAGUCUGCAACUCGACUGCAUGAAGUUGGAAUCGCUAGUAAUCGCGGAUCAGCAUGUCGCGGUGAAUACGUUCCCGGGUCU